GGUAUUUAAAUAUUGGAACUCUGGUGAUCUUGGGGAGCAUUUUUCAGAAAUUAUGCGAGAUGAAGAUGGAUAGAGGAUCGACACAAAAGGCGAGAGAGUCGUUGGAUUUGGUGUUUUCCAUGUCAAAUUUUAUGCAGACUAGAAUCGAUCAGCACAACCUGACGAUUCUCAUUGCACUAACCGAACAAGGAGUUAAUCCUGAAGCACUCGCUGCUGUUAUAAAGGAGCUGCGUAGGGAAGCCGCCGCCAUCAACCAACAUUCUUCGUCUUCCUCUUAACCCAAGGAUGCAUAAUUGGUGUUGGUGCAGCUUCUAGAUGGAUUUCAGAAUGCUGAAGAUUUUCUUUGAUCGUGCCUCAACUGAGUGAAGACAUUGCUUUGGCAUGGUGGACCCAUAUUAGGUCUGGUGCCUAUCUAGGUUAUGGACCGAUAUCAUGUUAACAUGUUCUCCACACAUUACCGAGAUGAUUUAUGGAUUGGUUAUUGUUGUUUUGGUCUUAAGCUGACAUGACAUAUCAUUGUAAAAUGGAUGUAUGUAAUGAUCUUAUUGUAAUAUCUUUUAGGUGGCCGAUCUAAUUGGUUUAGGCCUUAGGGUUGGUAUAAAAUAAUGUAAGAUCUCAUUAUAGAUAAUGUGUCGUUGUCUUGGAUUGCAA